GUAAUUUCCUGGCGUUUCCCUGCAGCCCUUAAGUGAUGGAAUAGCAUUAUCAUCCCUCCAGUCUUCCGGCACCACACUGCAUCUCUGUACAUGGGCCA